rnacentral:tRNA from 1 species
GGUGGUUUUUAGGGAGGGCUUGACUGGCAGUCAAGAGGUCGUGGGUUCGAUCCCCACCAUCUCCACCA